AUCGAACGCUGGCGGCAUGCCUAACACAUGCAAGUCGAACGAGUGGCGGACGGGUGAGUAAUGUCUGGGAAACUGCCUGUUGGAGGGGGUAAACUACUGGAAACGGUAGCUAAUACCCCAUACCAUCGGAUUUGCCCAGAUGGGAUUGGCUAGUAGGUGGGGUAUCGGCUCACCUAGGCGACGAUCCCUAGCUGGUCUGAGAGGAUGACCGGCCACACUGGAACUGAGACACGGUCCAGACUCCUACGGGAGGAAGAAGUGGGGAAUAUUGCACAAUGGGCGCAAGCCUGAGGCAGCCAUGCCGCGUGUAUGAAGAAGGCCUUCGGGUUGUAAAGUACUUUCAGCGGGGAGGCGUUACCCGCAGAAGAAGCACCGGCUAACUCCGUGCCAGCAGCCGCGGUAAUUC
rnacentral:rRNA from 1 species